AGGCGUCCGCGCUGCAAGGUCGCUGGGACACGGGAUAGAGGGGAAGGUCGGCUGGGGACACGUCGCGGCGUGACUGAGGGCGGUGGGGUCCCUGCCGCCGGCCCGCCCGUCAGAGGACGGGUGGCUUAGGCCGGGCCGCAGCCACUCGCUUCAGCGUCUCCUCAGCCGUUCGCAGCCAGAGUGCGGCUGCCUCACGCGUACCGGUGGGCUCUGCGACUUUAGAGUCCGCUUUGUCUUGCGUGCCAGGUGGUGUGAAGCUGUGAAUUCUCCACAGCAUGAUGGAGAGGGACUUAGUAGGACACGUUAUGCCUGUCAGGUGGACGAAGUUGGGCAGGUGCAGGAACAUUUACUCUCCGAGUUGUACCUUUGUAGCUGUUUAAACCAAGAUGUUACUUUGAUAUAAACCCUGAGUAUAUGUACCUUUGUUUCCUAUAGUAGGUACUUAUUAUUGAAACCCUGUGGAAAGUAGACUUUUACACAUUCUUUUUAAAUAAGAGUGAAUUUAUUGUGUUUGUACUGAUACUGUUGUAGCCCCUAAAGAUCAAGGGCUAAGAUAGUCAGGCAUACCUGCUUCUCUGGGCAACAUCAAGUGAUGUAAGAAACACUGCGGCUUGUUUGGCCUGCGAGGUAAAAGUUCCAUAUUCUGUUACAAGCUCGGUUAGUCAUUGAAUUUUAUUAACUAUGGGGAAAAAAGAAAAUGGUGUAUUUUGAAACUGCUUUGUUUUAGACUUCAAAUAUUUACCAUCUGAAGCAGUAACAUUUGUAAUUAGAUAAACAUAACAAGCUAACAAAGCUCUAAGGUUUAGCAUGCCAAAGCUCGAUGCAAAUGUAGCAAUUAACAUUUCAAGAUGUCUGAAUUGAGGUUAUUUUUAUAGCCUUUUUUCUUUUUAAGUUCAUAAAGUAAGACUUCCUUUUGUCAUUUUGUGUUUUAAUUAUCUGCUGCACUGUAAUUAAAGAUAUUAACGUUCAGAUUUAUCUGCUCUGUGCUAUUAUUGUAGAGUAAAACCAGGAUUUCUAGAAUAUAUUUAAAAUAAUAAAUUCUCUUUACCUACGUAGAUGCCAGUUUGCAAUGGGACUUAAAACCAUCUGGAAGGACUACAAAGUUAUGAUUGUUAUGGGAACUAGCCUUGGGCUGGUGCACUGGGGGUGGUUUUACAUCAAGUCCAGUCCUAUUUUCCAAGUGAAGACAGAGGAGUUUGUUCCAGAACCUGGGAUUGUGGCAUACGUGAUGCAAAGUGAUCACAAAAAUAAAGAAAAAUAGCAUUAGUGCUAUGUAUUGUGGGUAUAACUAGCUUUGAAGCUUUCCGUCUGUGAGUGUUGCCAGAAGAAGAGAUGAAGAAAGCUAGCUGGAGUAGAAAGAACUUUCUGCUUGUGGCAGGACUGUCACUUAUAGGUGUCCAUUUUGGAAGCAUGCUUGUAAACUUUGUUGCAAAAAAAUCUGUUCAAUCACAUUCAGAAGCUAAAAAAGGAGAUAGUCAUGAAUGAAAUAGCUUACUGCUGUCAUUAUGUAUCAAUUUCAUGAUAGGAUUUAAGCCUCAUUGUAAGAGGUAGAUCAUGAGCAGUCAUAGGAAUGUUGUUACUGUACUGUAUAUACUGUUUCACAUUUAAAAUCAUAAUCCUUAGCUGCAAAGAAUUAAAAUGUACUGCUUUAAAUUU